rnacentral:rRNA from 1 species
UACAGAGGUCUCAAGCGUUGUUCGGAUUCAUUGGGCGUAAAGGGUGUGUAGGUGGCGCUGUAAGUGGGGUGUGAAAUCUCGGGGCUUAACUCCGAAACUGCAUUCCAUACUGCGGUGCUUGAGGACUGGAGAGGAGACUGGAAUUCAUGGUGUAGCAGUGAAAUGCGUAGAGAUCAUGAGGAAGACCAGUGGCGAAGGCGGGUCUCUGGACAGUUCCUGACACUGAGACACGAAGGCCAGGGGAGCAAACGGG